rnacentral:rRNA from 1 species
CACCAGCGCCACAAGUGGCGAUCAGCAUUAUUGGGCUUAAAGCGUUCGUAGUCGGUCAGGUAAAUCUUUUGUGAAAUUGAUAGGCUCAACCUACCAACGUGCAGAAGACACUGCCAGACUUGAGACCGGGAGGAGCUAGAAGUAUUUUUGGGGUAGCGGUAAAAUGCUAUAAUCCCAGAAAGACUACCGGUAGCGAAGGCGUCUAGCUAGAACGGGUCUGACGAUGAGGAACGAAAGCCAGGGGA